UGGUGACCUUCGGUCUCCUCGCUGAUGGAUUUUGUCCAUCAGAAGCGAUGAGUGCAAGCGCCCACCAUCGUCCUCUUCCAUCCCUCUUCUCACCAAUGCCUUCUCUAUCCUCUUGCUCUCCCUCUCCUCCCUGCUUGGUGCUAGAUCUGGGAUAUAGGAGAGGUAGAGCGGACUAUUGGUUAGGAGGCCAGUGACGGGAAGGGAGGGCAAGUGCGGCAACUCGGUCAGGAUAGCGACAAUGACGGACGCGCCUCGGUGACAACGAUGGCAAGCCACAGCGACAAGGAUGGAGCGUCUCAGUGACGACUGCAACAAAAGCUCGGUCGACCAUUAUCUUCUUUUUUCCUGAUAUUUUUGUCUUAUUUUUUCUUAUGGAACGAUGACUGAUUAUUUUCUGGAUUGUUCAUGAUUCUCAACAAUAUGAAGAGAUGAGUGUCAGUUUUGACUUUGGAUAAAUAAUCAAAUUCACCGAAUUUCAACAAGAAGAACAGGAAUGAGGUUAUGUGUAGUACAGCAUGGAAGCAUGCUCCUUGCUCUGCUAUGGUCAAGUUUGUACAUUUUUCUUUGUUGUUGUUAGAAAGAGGUACAUAGUACCUGCAUCAGGAGCAGGAUUUCUCUUGAAUGAAACCUGUCAUUUUCUUUGCAAAGAUCCAUCAAAAAGACAAUAAAGGCUAACUCAUAUUACUUCUUUUGGAAAAAGAAUGUAUUUGAUUUGUCUACAUUCAUACGAGAGAGUUCAACAAAUUUUCUCCUCUACACUAACUGUAUCAUCUGGUGUUCCAAGUAUCAAAUGUCAUAGGUGUUAGUACUGCAUGUUGGUAACCGAGAAUUAUCUAAACCUUAUUCUGUUCGCCUAUGAAUUUAUAUGGCACUGUUGAGCGUGCAAUUUUGCUUGGAGUUCUUGUAGGUUUCAAGUUAGUCCUAUGAAACAAAGUUUUGCCAUCAUAUACAAAAUUUCUUGAUAUAU